rnacentral:rRNA from 1 species
GAUUCGCUCUACACCCUUUGUGACAUACCUAUAACUGUUGCUUCGGCGGGUAGGGUCUCCGUGACCCUCCCGGCCUCCCGCCCCCGGGCGGGUCGGCGCCCGCCGGAGGAUAACCAAACUCUGAUUUAACGACGUUUCUUCUGAGUGGUACAAGCAAAUAAUCAAAACUUUUAACAACGGAUCUCUUGGUUCUGGCAUCGAUGAAGAACGCAGCGAAAUGCGAUAAGUAAUGUGAAUUGCAGAAUUCAGUGAAUCAUCGAAUCUUUGAACGCACAUUGCGCCCGCCAGCAUUCUGGCGGGCAUGCCUGUUCGAGCGUCAUUUCAACCCUCAAGCUCUGCUUGGUGUUGGGGCCCUACAGCUGAUGUAGGCCCUCAAAGGUAGUGGCGGACCCUCCCGGAGCCUCCUUUGCGUAGUAACUUUACGUCUCGCACUGGGAUCCGGAGGGACUCUUGCCGUAAAACCCCCCAAUUUUCCAAAGGUUGACCUCGGAUCAGGUAGGAAUACCCGCUGAACUUAAGCAUAUCAAUAAGCGGAGGA